AAAAAAUUGAAUCUUCAACCUCAACUUAGCCCCCUUUAACUUAUCGUCAUUUCAUUUUUUCCUGUUAUCAAUUAAUUAAUAUUCAUUUUCGUUUGUUCUUUCAUAAUCUUCGUUUGUUCGAUCAUAAUUAACGUCUUAUCGCCUUUUAUUAUCAAUUUUGAUUAAUUAACAUCUCAUUACCAGUGUAGCUAUGUCGCGCAUGCGCAUUAAUACUUCAGACGCAGUGGGAUUUCCUUCCAGAUGCCCGGGAACACUUAAAUUUAAGAUUUAUUACAAAAAAAAAGUGAAUAUCCAAUCAAACAAAAUAUGAACUUUUAAUUGUACUUGUCGUUAUGAAAUUUAUAUAAAAUAAUCUAUAUUGAUAUUGUGAAAAAUCUUAAUAUACAGCAUCAAUCUGAAUACGUACGUCUCUGCAUUCAACGUGAGUGCAUAUAGAUUGUAUUUAUUUGUGAAAAUUUUAUGUCUGCAAAUUUUUGAUUGUGUAUGUGAAGAUUUCCUGUGCGUGCAUAUUUAUAUACGUUAAGUGAUUUCAAUUAAAGAGUAUAUACAAUCACAGACUUAAGGUUAAAUGUGCAUAAGUCUGAGGAAAAGUUAAAUUGGAGCACUUGCUAGUACUCUAGCUAAGUAUACUAUUUACGGAUACUACUGGUUAUAAGAUGUUAUAGGGUAGCUAGGACGAAUUCUGGGACAUAUUCACUAAGAUGAAAUUGAAGUUUUUGGUGGACUCUGGCUGAGGAUACUAUUUUUACAAAGACUGCUGGUUAUAAAGUAUUUACUAGUUAUGGUGAUUAUUAUCUGGGCAAAUCUGCUCGAGGCUGAUUGGAUGUUAAAUUGGAGCAUUACGUUGGAUCCCGGCUGAGGACCUUCUCUUCAUUGCGAGUACUGGCCAUUAAUUUAUGGAUGUACAGGCUACUUAAAAAAUUUCCCAAUGAAAUUUUCACGAAUUUAAUGAAGAAUUUAAUUGGAAUACUCCAAGAGACUACGACUCAGGAUUUUGUUCGAUUUUCUCUGUUGGUAAUCGUACAUUUCUCCAUUAUGAUUUCAUUUUCCAAUAUAUUAAUUAAACAAAUUCUGUGAAUUCGUAUUAAAACAAAACAAAAACAAAUAUAAAUCAAUUCGUACCUUUAGUAACAAUGAAGACUUUGUCCCUUGUUAAUAAAAAAAAAAAGUAACAAUUACGAUCGAGAAUUUCAGUUGUUUUUAGUGUUCACUUCAUUUAUUCAUUCGUCACCGGUUACCAUCGCAUCAUCACUUGCCACUAUGAUCUCUCCAAACAAAUGGACUUUCAAUGAAGAAUAUGCAAUGGUUCGUUCUCGUCUCCUGGAACAUGGGACGGAUUAUAAGUUUAAUCGUUUACGAGACGAUGACCUUGGCAUAUGGGAAAUUAUUUCUCAAGAACCAAUUCUCGUAAACGGAAAAAAAGACGCUACGAUGUGCCGGGACCGGUUCUUCGACAUCAUUUAUGAUUUUUUGGUUUAUUUUAACAUGUCAGACAGGCAACGAAUGUCGGUGAACUUGCCUGCACAUUACAUGCUUUUUCAAUAUUACCUCACUCAAUGUGAUGCAGUUUUUUAGAAAAAUUGGGCUGAGUAAAAAUUAAAAGUGAUCUUCAAAAUGAAAAUGAAUAAAAUUUUUUUGGAUUCUCAACAAAUUAA